rnacentral:sRNA from 1 species
UGCAAACUGCGUUGGUCCUCGUCUACC